ACAGCGGAGGAUGCAUUUAGUGAGAAACUAGACACAUCCAGGCUGGAGAGAGAGAUCAUCAUAUCCACGGAGCUCAUAGGCAGCGCAGAGGCUUGCGACCGAACGAGAACAUCGCGCACAGGUUACGUGCAUUCGUGGUUUAAUAAAGUAAAAGCCUGCGUCUUCUCUUGCAUCCAUGCAUUUCUCAUGGGAGAAAUUCCCCAUCUUGGAAAUAAAAGUGCCUUUUCCGUUCAGUGGAUCAACAUUCAAGGGUUGAAUACUUAAGGACUGCGACUAUUUAAAAGGGAAAUGCAUCACCGGAGAGACAGGACAGGCGAGUGUGGUUUUAACAAAAGACGCUCCGAUGCUGUGCAGAGAUUUCGCGUCGUGCUCCUAAACGCAAGACGCACGGGAUCCUUUAUUUGUCCCCAACACACUGACACUCGCAGCUCACUUUCUAAUACAGAGGAAUAUCCACGUCGUUUAAAAAAGUCAACUUUACGAGAUGUUCCGCAUUACAAAGGUUUGACGGGAGGUGGUUGCUAUCUUUGGUUAUCUAGCUGUAUGAGUGUUUAUCUUCCUUCAUAAAGCUAGAUAACCGAAAGUAGAAACGUCCUCCUUAACGGCACACUAGACACGUUUACCGGGAAACAGUGAUCACGCGGGAAAAUUGUGAGAGUUACGCCUCUUAAAGUAAAGUGGGUUUGUGAGAGACCAGAGGACUAAACCUAAAAAUCAUCAUCUGCAACUGCCAGCCAUUUACACGCUGCCUUUUUGGAGUAAGAGGGGGAGAGGAAAAAUGGCACAAUUGUCCAAAUGAAAGAAAAGGAAAAGAAAAAUAAUAGUCAACCCUCAUCCUUCUCCUACCAGCUCCCCUCCCUUCCCUUCGUCAACGGAAGCAUUUAGUGCCAUCUGUGCCCCCGGAGAAAAGCAAAAAGAAAGGAGCGAGACUCUACAUCCCAAGUGCCAAUGGGGACAAAGAGGCUGCCAGUUGCCAUGGACCACCAGAUGCUGGGAGACUGCAACACUGAAUGAGGGGUGUGCUUACAGGAAGCCAUCUUGAUGGAGAAACUGCCUGCUGCUCCCUAAAAUGGCUGUGUUGGCAUGAGGUUCCUAGCAAUGAUCAAAAGUGUGGAAGAAAAUCACUGUCAACAUCUGCUGCAAAAACUGAGGCCAUGGAGCUAUUAAUAACUGAGGUGGUCAAUCACAGCCCUUCAGGAAUCCAACAUCCAGCAUUUACUCCAGAUG